rnacentral:rRNA from 1 species
UGGGGAAUAUUGGACAAUGGGCGAAAGCCUGAUCCAGCCAUGCCGCGUGUGUGAAGAAGGUCUUCGGAUUGUAAAGCACUUUAAGUUGGGAGGAAGGGCAGUAAGCUAAUACCUUGCUGUUUUGACGUUACCGACAGAAUAAGCACCGGCUAACUCUGUGCCAGCAGCCGCGGUAAUACAGAGGGUGCACGCGUUAAUCGGAAUUACUGGGCGUAAAGCGCGCGUAGGUGGUUUGUUAAGUUGGAUGUGAAAGCCCCGGGCUCAACCUGGGAACUGCAUCCAAAACUGGCAAGCUAGAGUACGGUAGAGGGUGGUGGAAUUUCCUGUGUAGCGGUGAAAUGCGUAGAUAUAGGAAGGAACACCAGUGGCGAAGGCGACCACCUGGACUGAUACUGACACUGAGGUGCGAAAGCGUGGGGAGCAAACA